AUCGGAGCUUGCUUGCGAGUUCCGCAUUGGGUCGUCCCGUCGGCUUCGGCUGGCGGGUGGCCUCAAGUUGACUUGUGCAGUGCUCUGCCAAAGACUCUUGGGUCGUAAAAAGCCUGGGUCUGAGCGGGACAAGCCUGCACGGGGAUUUACUCGGAGGCCUUGCGCCUGUGCCGGGUUCCAAUAUAU
rnacentral:misc_RNA from 1 species